CGUGAAUCCAAUUCCGGCGCGAUCAACUGAACCCGGCGUUGACUCCAAUUCCGGCAGGAUCAACCGGAACUCCGGCGUUGACUCCAAUUCCGGCAGGAUCAACCGAGCAAUCCGGCGUUGAAUCCAAUUCCGGCGGUGAAUCCGAGUCCGGCGUUGAAUCCAAUUCCGGCAGGAUCAACCGGAUUCCGGUUGAUCCUGCCGGACCUGACUGCUAUCGGAUUGGUACUAAGCCAUGCGAGUCGUUGUAGCAAUACAAUGUGGACUGCUCAGUAACACGUAGUUAACUUAACCUAUGGAUGGGAAUAACCUCGGGAAACUGAGAAUAAUACCCAAUAGACCACAGUGCCUGGAAUGGCCUGUGGUUGAAAUGAUUUAUCGCCGUAGGAUAGGACUGCGGCCUAUCAGCUUGUUGGUGAGGUAAUGGCCCACCAAGGCUAUAACAGGUACGGGCUCUGAGAGGAGGGGCCGGAGACUGGGUACUGAGACACGGAACCAGGCCCUAUGGGGCGCAACA
rnacentral:rRNA from 1 species